CUUGGUCAUUUAGAGGAAGUAAAAGUCGUAACAAGGUUUCCGUAGGUGAACCUGCGGAAGGAUCAUUAUUGAAAUAAACCUGAUGGGUUGUUGCUGGUUCUCUUGGGAGCAUGUGCACGCCUUGUCAUCUUUAUAUCUCCACCUGUGCACCUUUUGUAGACCUUUUCAGGGUCUAUGUUGCUUCAUUCACCCCAAUGUAUGUUAAUAGAAUGUUGUGCCUAUAUAAUAUAUACAACUUUCAGCAACGGAUCUCUUGGCUCUCGCAUCGAUGAAGAACGCAGCGAAAUGCGAUAAGUAAUGUGAAUUGCAGAAUUCAGUGAAUCAUCGAAUCUUUGAACGCACCUUGCGCUCCUUGGUAUUCCGAGGAGCAUGCCUGUUUGAGUGUCAUUAAUAUAUCAAACCUUCUCUCGUUGAGCGGUUUGGAUGUGGGGGUUUGCUGGCCUCUUAAAAGGAUUUGGCUCCCCUGAAAUGCAUUAGCAGAACCAACCCUGUUCAUUGGUGUGAUAAACUAUCUACGCUAUUGAAUGUGAAGGGCAGUUUGGCUUUCUAACAGUCCUCGGACAACUCAACAUUAAUGUGACCUCAAAUCAGGUAGGACUACCCGCUGAACUUAAGCAUAUCAAUAAGCGGAGGAAAAGAAACUAACAAGGAUUCCCCUAGUAACUGCGAGUGAAGCGGGAAAAGCUCAAAUUUAAAAUCUGGCGGUCUUUUGGCUGUCCGAGUUGUAAUCUAGAGAAGUGUUAUCCGCGCUGGACCGUGUACAAGUCUCCUGGAAUGGAGCAUCAUAGAGGGUGAGAAUCCCGUCUUUGACAUGGACUACCAGGGCUUUGUGAUGCGCUCUCAAAGAGUCGAGUUGUUUGGGAAUGCAGCUCAAAAUGGGUGGUAAAUUCCAUCUAAAGCUAAAUAUUGGCGAGAGACCGAUAGCGAACAAGUACCGUGAGGGAAAGAUGAAAAGAACUUUGGAAAGAGAGUUAAACAGUACGUGAAAUUGCUAAAAGGGAAACGCUUGAAGUCAGUCGCGUCAUCCAGGGAUCGACCUUGCUUUUGCUUGGUGCACUUUCUGGUUUGAUGGGUCAGCAUCAAUUUUGACCAUUGGAAAAAGGCCAAGGGAAUGUGGCAUCUUCGGAUGUGUUAUAGCCUUUGGUCACAUACAAUGGUUGGGAUUGAGGAACUCAGCACGCCGCAAGGCCGGGUUUUAAACCACGUUCGUGCUUAGGAUGCUGGCAAUAUGGCUUUAAUCGACCCGUCUUGAAACACGGACC
rnacentral:rRNA from 1 species